AUCAGAUUUUGAGCACACUACAAACUCUAUUAAAAAGGUCUUACAAAAGGCUCUCAUCUCUCUCAAGUUUGAGAGCCAACAACCGCUAGCUCCCUAAAAGUGUUCUCUCAAAACUCUCUCUUUUGAGAAAUGGCUACCGCCAGAGCUGACCACCGGCCGGCAAGGCACCGGCACCCGCUGCCUCUUCGUCCUUCCCCCACUGUUUUUCUUGUGCCUCUCACCCCCUCCCCCGCAUCGAUCAGAUCUGAGAAUAUUCAAGCCGGCAAAGGAUCGUUUCCAGCAGAUCCAUGUGUUUAUCGGCGUUGGCUUUGAUUCUGCCAUUGUUUCCGGCAAGCGAAGAUGAGUUGUUGCCUUUUUCUUUUGCUUGUUUCUUUUUCUACUGAUAUUACUGGACUUGAACAAAUGCUGAUCGCUCGUCUCUUUCGCCGUUUUGCCCAGAUCUGAAAAGAUCUUUGGCCAGAGAUGCAAGCUCUGAUACCGGAGGUCUUCGCUGCCAUGUAUCUUUUCGGCAUUGUUCCGGUGUUAGCGCCGUUGAAGCAGCGCUAACAGGUUUAGGCCGAUGGUUUUGCUUUCUUUGUUUUUCGCGUUUGUGCUCAGAUCUGGCCGGAAUAUUUUUCGGCAGCCUCCAUGUUUUCCGGCGACUGAACUUAUGAUAUAUUAUCACCAUAUAUUGUGUUAGCCAUUUGGGAUUAAAGUUGUUUUGUUUCUGCUGUUUUGCCCUCCCAUUGUUUGAAGCUAAUAUGGUCUGUUCUGUUGUUGCCUUACCGGAAAUCCGGUCCUAGCGUGCCAGUGACCACUCUGUUUCUUCUCGUUUGUCGGAAAUCCUUACUUGGUUUUCAUGGCCAUUAUCUUGGUACCAUUAUAUCAAUUGUGUGAUGUAUGAUUUAUAUUGGAAUGUUUCUUCAAGUAUUGGCAUGAUUGGAUUGCUAACCUUAGGCUUGAUUCAGUCCUUGGUCGUUUGGUUAAUCUUGAUGAAUGACUUUUAUCAUAGUGAAAUACAAUAUUGAUUAAGGGCAUCGAUUGGUACUGUUUUAUUGUGUACUCGAAGUUGUGAUAGGCUGCUGGGAUCUCGGUUACAUUCGUGUGGGUUUGAAGUUAACUUUACACUGCUUUGAUGACCUCCUUCUCGUGUUAGUAUAAACUGAUAAUGAACAAGAUAGGUACAUUGUUCAAGGCCGAUGAGUAAAAAAGUUUUGAGGCCUUAUGAUGAAAUUUUGACUGAUAAAGAACAAGAUACUACACCGUACUUCGGACCCGAAACAAAUACAUUUUAUGAGGCGAUGACCAAUGCCAAAGAAAAAUAAAAGACGAGAAUGUGAAUAUAUGUGCUUCAGGAGGCAACACGGUUGGCCGCCGGAGUUGCAACCAAGUCAAUGUUCGCAUACUAAUGUCUUAUUGCUAUACGACAUACUACACAAUCCGAGCCUCCUAUAAUAUUUUAAAACUAUUUUCCAAAAAUAAUUUCCAAAAACUAUUUUUUAAACAAUCUUUCGGAAGCGAAAAUAUUUUCAAAUCAUUUUCGAGAGCAACUUUUCAAAGACAUUUUAAAACAAAACUAUUUCAAAAAUAUGUCACUUUAUUAGUUUGUUUUUUACGUUACAUUAUUUUGCUAACUAUUUGAUUUCUCUUAUCUUGCGAGGUACUUUAUUCGAAACGCUUUGGAAAGAUGACGCUCGGAGACGAAAUGAACCCCGUCAAAUUCCCCGCUUCGCACUUUCUAUUCUAGGAUGGUGCAACAACAUGGUGACUCUGCUGGGGAUACUUCAAGUUCUAACCACAACAGAUUUGAUCAACUACUUGAGGGAUUACAGGUUCUCAAAUAUUCCAAUUUCUAUUCUUUAUGUCACAUGAUACAAGUCGUAUAUUCUUCAAGUUGUAUAUUCUUUGUUUCAAGUUGUACUCUUUAUUGAAGUUAUAUAUUCAGUGCUUUAAGCGGUAUAUUCUCUGCUCCAAGCAGUAUAUUCUAUGUCAUGCGUUUGCUCCAAGUCAUAUAUUCCAUGUGAUGCACUUCUAGCAGUAUAUUCUUUGUUAUGCGCUUCAAGCAGUGUAUUCUUUGUCAUAUACUUUAAGUGGUAUAUUCUUUGUCAUUCGCUUCAA